GACAGGAGGGUGCAAACGUUGUUCGGAUUUACUGGGCGUAAAGCGCGUGUAGGCGGCUUUGCAAGUCGGGUGUGAAAGCCCUCAGCUCAACUGAGGAAGUGCGCCCGAAACUGCAGAGCUUGAGUGCCGGAGAGGGUGGCGGAAUUCCCCAAGUAGAGGUGAAAUUCGUAGAUAUGGGGAGGAACACCGGUGGCGAAGGCGGCCACCUGGACGGUAACUGACGCUGAGACGCGAAAGCGUGGGGAGCAAACAGG
rnacentral:rRNA from 1 species